rnacentral:rRNA from 1 species
AUACGUAGGGGGCGAGCGUUGUCCGGAAUGAUUGGGCGUAAAGGGCGCGUAGGCGGCCUGUUAAGUCUGGAGUGAAAGUCCUGUUUUCAAGGUGGGAAUUGCUUUGGAUACUGAUGGGCUUGAGUGCAGGAGAGGUUAUCGGAAUUCCCGGUGUAGCGGUGAAAUGCGUAGAGAUCGGGAGGAACACCAGUGGCGAAGGCGGGUAACUGGACUGCAACUGACGCUGAGGCGCGAAAGUGUGGGGAGCAAACAGGAUUAGAUACCCUGGUAGUCCACACUGUAAACGAUGAAUGCUAGGUGUAAGAGGUAUCGACCCCUUUUGUGCCGGAGUUAACACAAUAAGCAUUCCGCCUGGGGAGUACGGCCGCAAGGUUGAAACUCAAAUGAAUUGACGGGG